rnacentral:rRNA from 1 species
CAAGCGUUGUCCGGAUUUAUUGGGCGUAAAGAGCGUGUAGGCGGCCAGGUAGGUCCGUUGUGAAAACUCGAGGCUCAACCUCGAGACGCCGAUGGAAACCAUCUGGCUAGAGUCCGGAAGAGGAGAGUGGAAUUCCCGGUGUAGCGGUGAAAUGCGCAGAUAUCGGGAAGAACACCCGUGGCUAAGGCGGCUCUCUAGUACGGUACUGACGCUGAGACGCGAAAGCGUGGGGAGCGAACAGG